rnacentral:rRNA from 1 species
UACGGAGGGGGCUAGCGUUGUUCGGAAUUACUGGGCGUAAAGCGCGCGUAGGCGGACUGCUAAGUCGGGGGUGAAAUCCUGAGGCUCAACCUCAGAAUUGCCUUCGAUACUGGCGGUCUCGAGUACGGGAGAGGUGAGUGGAAUUCCCAGUGUAGAGGUGAAAUCCGUAGAUAUUGGGAAGAACACCAGUGGCGAAGGCGGCUCACUGGCCCGUAACUGACGCUGAGGUGCGAAAGCGUGGGGAGCAAACAGG